GAUGAACGCUGGCGGCGUGCCUAAUACAUGCAAGUCGAGCGAACAGACGAGGAGCUUGCGCCUCUGACGUUAGCGGCGGACGGGAGAUUCACACGUGUAUAACCUACCUAUAAGACUGGGAUAACUUCGGGAAACCGGAUCUAAUACCGGAUAAUAUAUUGCACCGCAUUGUGCAAUAGUUAGAUACGGUUUUUCUGUCACUUAUAGCUGGAUACGCGCCGAAUUAGCUAGUUGUUAAGGUAACGGCUUACCAAGGCAACGAGGCGUAGCCGACCUAAGCGGGUGAUCGGCCACCCGGGAACUGAGACAGGGUAGCGACACCUACGGGAGGAAGCAGCCGGGAAUCUUACGCAAGGGGGGAAAGGCGGACGGAGCAACGCGGCGUGAGUGAUGAAGGUCCUCGGAUCGGAAAGCUAUGAUAUCAGGGGAGAACAAAUGUGUAAGUACCCAUGCACGUAAUGACGGUACCGAAUCAGAAAGCUCCGGCUAACUACGUG
rnacentral:rRNA from 1 species